GUGCCAGCAGCCGCGGUAAUACGAAGGGGGCUAGCGUUGUUCGGAAUUACUGGGCGUAAAGCGCACGUAGGCGGAUUGUUAAGUUAGGGGUGAAAUCCCAGGGCUCAACCCUGGAACUGCCUUUAAUACUGGCAAUCUAGAGUCCGAGAGAGGUGAGUGGAAUUCCUAGUGUAGAAGGUGAAAUUCGUAGAUAUUCGGAGGAACACCAGUGGCGAAGGCGGCUCACUGGCUCGGUACUGACGCUGAGGUGGCGAAAAGCGUGGGGAGCAAACAGGAUUAGAUACCCUGGUAGUCC
rnacentral:rRNA from 1 species